rnacentral:lncRNA from 1 species
UAUGACCCAUUUCGUUCAUUGAUUGGAACCUUUUGUUUUUUUUUUCAUUUACAUUUGAUCAUAAUAUCUAAUAAAUAUAAAAACCCUUUGGCCCGCGGUAUGUGAUAUGAUCAAAGUAGUGUUUAGACUACAUUUUCGUUCUUAGCCAAAUAAAAAGCUAUGAAAAUAUAAUUUAGCAUCAACAAGAUGUCGAGAAAAAAAAAAAAAAAAAAAAAAAAAAAAAAAAAA